AGAGUUUGAUCCUGGCUCAGGAUGAACGCUAGCGACAGGCCUAACACAUGCAAGUCGAGGGGCAGCGGGGAGGUAGCAAUACCUUUGCCGGCGACCGGCGCACGGGUGAGUAACACGUAUGCAAUCCACCUGUAACAGGGGGAUAACCCGGAGAAAUCCGGACUAAUACCCCAUAAUAUGGGCUCUCCGCAUGGAGGGUUCAUUAAAGAGAGCAAUUUUGGUUACAGACGAGCAUGCGCUCCAUUAGCCAGUUGGCGGGGUAACGGCCCACCAAAGCGACGAUGGAUAGGGGUUCUGAGAGGAAGGUCCCCCACAUUGGAACUGAGACACGGUCCAAACUCCUACGGGAGGCAGCAGUGAGGAAUAUUGGUCAAUGGACGAGAGUCUGAACCAGCCAAGUAGCGUGAAGGAUGAAGGUCCUACGGAUUGUAAACUUCUUUUAUAAGGGAAUAAACCCUCCCACGUGUGGGAGCUUGUAUGUACCUUAUGAAUAAGCAUCGGCUAACUCCGUGCCAGCAGCCGCGGUAAUACGGAGGAUGCGAGCGUUAUCCGGAUUUAUUGGGUUUAAAGGGUGCGUAGGCGGCACGCCAAGUCAGCGGUGAAAUUUUCGGGCUCAACCCGGACUGUGCCGUUGAAACUGGCGAGCUAGAGUGCACAAGAGGCAGGCGGAAUGCGUGGUGUAGCGGUGAAAUGCAUAGAUAUCACGCAGAACCCCGAUUGCGAAGGCAGCCUGCUAGGGUGCGACAGACGCUGAGGCACGAAAGCGUGGGUAUCGAACAGGAUUAGAUACCCUGGUAGUCCACGCAGUAAACGAUGAAUACUAACUGUUUGCGAUACAAUGUAAGCGGUACAGCGAAAGCGUUAAGUAUUCCACCUGGGGAGUACGCCGGCAACGGUGAAACUCAAAGGAAUUGACGGGGGCCCGCACAAGCGGAGGAACAUGUGGUUUAA
rnacentral:rRNA from 1 species